rnacentral:lncRNA from 9 species
GGACUGAGAAGCCAGGACGAUCUCCGGGAAGAAGCCAGGAGAGCCGGGGCUGCUGGAGAUACUCGGGGGCUCAGAGAAGCUGUUAUCUGCCAACGUUUAACCGUGCAUUUCGAGACAUUUAACAACUGGACAAGCUGCACGGUUGCGUGCCCAGCAAGGAUCAGUGCUGCCAGCUGGAAAAGAGAAUUGGAGCGACUAAUACGGAAGAAAGAGAACACUCAGAUUUCAUGUGCGCUGGGAACCUGGAGCGGAUGCCCAGCCCGUGCUCCAUGAGAAAGUGUCGCUCAUUAGAUAGUUCUAGAUGUUCCAAGAGCAAGGGUGCUAUGGGCGAGUAAAGAAAGCCUGAGAAACAACGUGCAAGUCAUACCCCUCUCGUCGUCGUCCACAGCACAGUAGCGAAUUACAGGUCCUGGAGUGGAGGAAGCGCGUGAACUGUGUUUGGCCCACGUAUUCGGCACCCUUACUGCCCAGGGGAGUCCCUUCACCGUGAAAUGAUCUUGCUUCGGAAGGACACGAGUGUUCUCUGCGACAAUGACCGGGAAAUACAUCCUCUCCACACUUAGCUGCGUCCGGGCUGGUGCGUCCGCACACACAGCUCAUCCCCGAUGGAUGCAAAGGCCGGAUUUGUCCUGCUGCCGUCGUUUUCUGGAGGUUUGUCUUACUCCUUCUUUCAAAGAGUCAGGAGUCCUGGCCACUUUCUUGCUGGUGUCCAACAGCCAGAAAAGUCUUCAAACACUACCCGCUAGCAGUCAGGAGUCUGUUUUUAUCUUGAAGAGUGGCCUCUAUUUUAGUUCCACGCGAAGAUGCAAAACUGAGCUGAAGGUCGUGAUGUGUAUACAUUUGCCUGCUGAUGCGCUUACAGACAGACCUGGAAAGAUAAGUGAAAAACUAAAACAAUGAGGAGGCAAACGGGGAGCUCAGGAUCAAGAAAGCAAGGAGGAUUUUUCCCUGCACCCAUUCGUAGCUGUGGACGUUUUAAUCCUGCAGAUGUAUUGCUUACAAGACAAAUAAAUGCCAUUUUGAAAAUACAUACGAUCGCUUUGCACCUCAGGUUUUGCAGCCACUUACCUCUCAAACAUUCUGCUUGCACCUGAGUGGAAGGAAGCCCAUCGCAGCUUCGUGAUGGCCGAGGAGGGUGUUGUGAUCCUGUGAUUUAUAAUGAGAAGUGUGUAUUUGGUCUCUCUUCCCACCUACAGCACAAAACUCCUAAAAUC